rnacentral:rRNA from 1 species
CGGACGGGUGAGUAAUGUCUGGGAAACUGCCCGAUGGAGGGGGAUAACUACUGGAAACGGUAGCUAAUACCGCAUAAUGUCUGCGGACCAAAGCGGGGGACCUCCGGGCCUCUUGCCAUCGGAUGUGCCCAGAUGGGAUUAGCUAGUAGGUGGGGUAACGGCUCACCUAGGCGACGAUCCCUAGCUGGUCUGAGAGGAUGACCAGCCACACUGGAACUGAGACACGGUCCAG